GAACGCUGAAACCAGAGCUUGCUUUGGUGGAUGAGUGGCGAACGGGUGAGUAACACGUGGGUGAUCUGCCCUACACUUUGGGAUAAGCCUGGGAAACUGGGUCUAAUACCGAAUAUUCACACCACCGUAGGGGUGGUGUGGAAAGCCUUGUGCGGUGUGGGAUGAGCCUGCGGCCUAUCAGCUUGUUGGUGGGGUAAUGGCCUACCAAGGCGUCGACGGGUAGCCGGCCUGAGAGGGUGUACGGCCACAUUGGGACUGAGACACGGCCCAGACUCCUACGGGAGGCAGCAGUGGGGAAUAUUGCACAAUGGGCGCAAGCCUGAUGCAGCGACGCCGCGUGGGGGAUGAAGGCCUUCGGGUUGUAAACUCCUUUCGCUAGGGACGAAGCCUUAUGGUGACGGUACCUGGAGAAGAAGCACCGGCUAACUACGUGCCAGCAGCCGCGGUAAUACGUAGGGUGCGAGCGUUGUCCGGAAUUACUGGGCGUAAAGAGCUCGUAGGUGGUUUGUCGCGUCGUCUGUGAAAUCCCGGGGCUUAACUUCGGGCGUGCAGGCGAUACGGGCAUAACUUGAGUGCUGUAGGGGAGACUGGAAUUCCUGGUGUAGCGGUGAAAUGCGCAGAUAUCAGGAGGAA
rnacentral:rRNA from 1 species